rnacentral:misc_RNA from 1 species
UUUUUAACUUGACUGUAAACAUGAAGCGAGUGAAAUGGCUACUCUUGUUUUCUCUUAUCUUAAAUGUGAUCGGACUAGUGUUCUUCGUUAUCGGAUUUUCCACACACUUUUGGUUGGAAUCGGAUAAAAAUUACCGGACAUCGUCGGGAUUUGAAAGCCUCGGUCUUUGGGAGGCCUGCUUCAAAGACUUCUCCCACAAGACAAGUUACAACGGAAAACAGUACAAUGGCUGCUGGUGGAUGUUCUCAUACGAGUAUGAACCCAUCAGAGAAUGGCUCAAUCCACCGUGGCUGGUGGCCAUCCAGGUGAUGAUGACCGUCUCUCUGCUGCUACAGCUGGUGGGGUCAAUCAUCGGGGUGCUGGUGUUCCUGGGGGUUUUCUGUCCCUGUUUGGUUCUAUGUGUGGUUUUGUGGCGGCCAUGACGGCACGCCUCGAAGACAAGUAUGGGGAGCGUCCGAAUUAUGACGGGCACAUGCUCCGGUCUCAACCCACAGUCUACUAAGACUACACAAUCGAACGCACCCCGUUACCGGUCGAAAAGGGACACUUAUCAGACAUCCAUUUUAGCUCUCCAAAUGCGCUAGAUAUUUGUAUGUCAUAUUGCAAAUUUAUGAUAGAUUUUAUAUUGUCCCAUGUCAUUUUAAUAUUUGAAAUAUAACGAAAAAUGGUGAAAAUUUGUUACACAUUUUUAUAUUGUCAAUUAUUUUUGCUUUUUUGGAAGAAUUACAAUGUACAUGUUUACAGGUCAAAGUCUGGAAAUAUAAUUCUACCAUCUAGUGUUUCAGCAUCCGUAUCUAGAUGUUUAAUACAUGCUGGGCAUGUAUUAACGAGACAGUUCUGCUACAAAAAAUAUUUUACAUCUACAUAAUUAUCAAUUUCCCAUUAAACUUUGUUACAUUAUGUAUAGACGCAUAAUUAUCACCUCAACGUUGCCAUUUACAUCCCAUUGUAAUUAUUUCAGAUGAACUUUUAAAUAUUUUGUUUUUUGUACUGGUGUACCUUGUUUUAUUUCUAUAUAAAGAUUUUAAAACAGC